CAGUAGCCGCGGUAAAACGAGGGGGGCAAGCGUUGUUCGGAUUUAUUGGGCGUUAAGGGUGCGUAGGCGGUUUGGCAAGUCUCGUGUGAAAUCUAUGGGCUCAACCCAUAGUCUGCACGGGAAACUGUCGGGCUUGAGAAUGGGAGAGGUGAGUGGAAUUUCCGGUGUAGCGGUGAAAUGCGUUGAGAUCGGAAAGAACACCAACGGCGAAAGCACUCUGCAGGGCCGACACUGACACUGAGAGACGAAAGCUAGGGGAGCAAAUGGGAUUAGAUACCCCAGUAGUCCCUGUCUCUUAUAA
rnacentral:rRNA from 1 species